UAAGGCUGCAACACUCUUCUUAUUCACUCCAAGUAUGCCACUGAUGAGAAGACAAGUCUUCAUCCAGCUUCUCUUUGCAUGGCUUCUGCUCCCAGCUUCUGCACUCAAUCACGUCACUGCUGAUGUUCAGGCUAUGCAGUCAGUUCAUUUCAAGCUCAGAACCCCACAGCCGCAAACUGGGCAUGCCAUUCCUUCAUGGGUUAAUGAAAAGAGGCGUAAAAGCCCAUCGGGGCCUAACCCAAUAGGGAAUCAACGCCCGCCAUCUAAACCAUAGAGGUCGGAAACAUGGAUUCAGCAUCGGCGUUCAAUAGCUGUUUGAGAUCAAUGGAUUGGUAUAGAAUAGCAAUUCUACUGUUGGGAGCAUUGUGUGUGUACAAAAUGGACUUCAACAAGUGAACAAUCCAUCCUAUAACUUCAUCAUUCCAACAAUGAGAAAACAAUCUUCUAGCUAAAAGAUCAUAAUGCCAAACUCAUAGGAAUUGGAAAAAAGGCCAACUACUUUUUAUUUCAUCUACAAAGAAA